GAUGCCUAUCCUUUAACUGAACGGCUCUUAACUCCCAUAGCAAAUCCAAAGAAUGCAGCAGAAAAAAAGUAUAAUGAAGCACAUUGUACUGCACACUCAGUCAUUGAACGUACCUUUGGAUCCCUCAAAAGUCGCUUCCGUUGUCUAGAUCGCUCAGGAGGAGUGCUGCAAUAUUCACCAGAAAAGGGGGCACAGAUUAUCCUUGCUUGUUGCAUUUUGCAUAACUUGGCAGUCAGUCGAAAUCUGGAUGUUGACAUUCUUGAAGACCUUGAUGCACCACCUCCUGUUGCAGCAAUUCCAGAGGAGGAGAACACAGAAGUAGGAAAGCAGACCAGAUUGCAAGUACUCAACAGAUAUUUCACAUGAGACACAUUAUCAGGAAUAUCUGUUCUCAAUAAUAUUGGAUGGCUUACACUCUACGUGUCCUAUAAGAGACUUUCAAAGUCAUGUGUAUCUUAAUUAUGUAGAAUUGUAUACCUAAAAUGUAUACGUUUAGUUUGUAGGGAUUGUUAGCAUUGAACAAUUGCUCUACCAUGUAAGGAAACAAAACACUAUUUUGUAAUGCAAAUGCUUGUUACAAAACAUUUAAUGAUUCUAGGAUAAUCAGAAGUAUGACUUGUUUAAUUAAAACUCCAUUAUCAGACCAGGUUUGUUUACUUUUUCUGUAGUGAUUAAAGGGACAGUAAACACCAAUUUUCAUUUAACUGCAUAGACACUACUAUAAAGAAUACUAUGCACAGAUACUGAUAUAAAAAUCCAGUAUAAUACCUUAUAAAAACUUGCUUAGAAGCUCCUAAUUUAGCACUGUUAAUGAAGUUAGGCAGGGACACCCACUGAAAGCAAACCCUCCCCCCUCCCCUGCAUAUGAAAAGACUAAUUAUACAAACAGAAGCUAUCUGAAGUCUGUAUACAUCAGUAUACAUCUAAAACUUUAGGGCUUGGUUAGGAGUCUGAAAAUCAGCACAAUGAUAUUUAAAAAUAAGCAAAAUUAUACACUUUCUUUUUUUGUGUUUGUCUGUGCAUCUGUCUUCCUAGAAUGCAAUAAAUGAAAAAUUAAACUGUAGUUUAUUUUUUACAUUUGCAAUGUGCACAAUUUGUUACAAGCUUUUGUAGAUUCUUAUUUUAAGCAUACCUAAUGUACUUGUCCUCCAGAAUUGUUAGCCAAAUAGUGUAUAGAUUUUUAAACACUUGUUUACUCUAUAGUCAAUAUAGUGUACUCUGAAUGCCAUUUGUAUUGAUGUACAUAUAUGCAUUAAUAUUUGUAGUUUAUGAAAUCUGUAGAUAACUGGUCUCAUCUACUUUUGUAUGCCAACAUAUUGGCCCUAUGCAUUUCCUUCCAUCUUGAUUUAUAUUUUGUGUAUUGAUUGAUGUUAUUGAGUCUGACUACACUCCUGACAUUUCACCUUAAACUUAUUGUAUGUUUAUUUCACUGAAUAUAAAGGCUUAUAAAACCAAAA